rnacentral:rRNA from 1 species
UACAGAGGGUGCGAGCGUUAUCCGGAAUUAUUGGGCGUAAAGGGCUCGUAGGCGGUUCGUCACGUCGGGAGUGAAAACUCGGAGCUUAACUCCGAGCCUGCUUCCGAUACGGGCAGACUAGAGGUAGGCAGGGGAGAGCGGAACUCCUGGUGUAGCGGUGGAAUGCGCAGAUAUCAGGAAGAACACCCGUGGCGAAGGCGGCUCUCUGGGCAGUAACUGACGCUGAGGAGCGAAAGCGUGGGGAGCGAACAGG